rnacentral:rRNA from 1 species
UACGUAGGGUGCGAGCGUUAAUCGGAAUUACUGGGCGUAAAGCGUGCGCAGGCGGUUUUGUAAGCCAGAUGUGAAAUCCCCCGGGCUUAACCUGGGAAUGGCAUUUGGGACUGCAAGGCUGGAGUGCGGCAGAGGAGACUGGAAUUCCUGGUGUAGCAGUGAAAUGCGUAGAUAUCAGGAGGAAUACCGAUGGCGAAGGCAGGUCUCUGGGCAUUAACUGACGCUGAGGAGCGAAAGCAUGGGGAGCGAACAGG